GCUGUUUGUUCAUUAAUGAUCUGGAGGAUGGCGUGGACUGUACCCUCAGCAAGUUUGCAGGUGACACUAAACUGGGCAGAGUGGUAGAUACGCUGGAGGGUAGGGAUAGGAUACAGAGGGAUCUAGACAAAUUAAGAGGAUUGGGCCAAAAGAAAUGUGAUGAGAUUCAACAAGGACAAGUGCAGAGACCUGCACUUAGGACAGAAGAAUCUCAUGAACUGCUACAGACUAGGGAUCGAGUGGCUAGGCAGCAGUUCUGCAGAAAAGGACCUAGGGGUUACAGUGGACGGGAAGCUGGAUAUGAGUCGACAGUGUGCCCUUGUUGCCAAGAAGGCUAACGUCAUUUUGGGCUGUAUAAGUAGGGGCAUUGCCAGCAGAUCAAGGGACGUGAUCAUUUUCCUCUGUUUGGCAUUGAUGAGGCCUCAUCUGGAGUACUGUGUCCAGUUUUGGGCCCCACACUUCAAGAAGGAUGUGGAAAAAUCGGAAAGAGUCUAGUGGAGGGCAAAAAAAUGAUUAGGGGGCUGGAGCACAUGACCUAUGAGGAGACGCUGAGGGAACUGGGAUUGUUUAGUCUGCAAAAGAGAAGAAUGAUGGGGGAUUUGAUAGCUGCUUUCAAUUACCUGAAAGGGGGUUCCAAAGAGGAUGGAUCUGGAGAGGUGGGGGGUGUUAGAAGGUCUGCAUGGCAGUCACCACCUCUUGCCAGCCUUCUCUUGGUCUCUGCUGCAGGCCUCCUGCCCCUGUCUUCCCUGCUUCUGGCCACUGAACUGGGGCCCUUCUCAUGGCACUCCUAUGCAAUGUUCUGGACCCAUCAGACACUGCUGAUGAAAGCACCGAGGGCCAUCUAGCUUGGUCUGCACCCCUACAUGUGAUCCAACUUUCCUUUGGGCUUAUCGUCCAGGGCAAGCAGCCCCCCCAGGUGCUGGAUCCAGGGAUGCAAUGUUUGAUGUAGGCUCGUUAAUAAACACACUGUUUGGAGGACGAGCGUGGUGUGUUCCUGGAAGCCACUCGGUGUUUGUAUCCUGUAGGCGCGACAACGUCAGAGAGUAAAUGUCAGGUUCCUGGGCAGGGAGAGCACUGGAUCCUGCUGCUACCACGUAUCUGGUAACUGAGGAGCCAGCAGCAUCUGGGGGUGUUUUUCUCCUGCCACUCCAGAAUGUGUUUGAAGAUGUCAGGCUGUGUCAGGUGCACACAGGAGGUGCCCUGCCCAGCAGUCAGGGACUGGGUAAGACUCAGUUCCUGGGGAGAUGGAAUCCUCUAGGCAUAGCGGUGUGUGUAUGGCACUUCACACAGUGGGGGUCACUCGGUGGCAGUGUACCGAAAACACACCACCAAGGCAGUGCCCUGCGUUACAAGAACAUUCUGUAGGUUGCUAAGUCGAGCACUUGGAAGUGCCAGAUUGACACAACUUUCAUUCUUCCCCCUUGUGUGUGCGACCUGGCUAUUGAAUGAGGCAGGGGUGCGAUGGGAAACCUGUGUGGGAUCAUGGAAUCAUAGACUGUACCUGAUGUGUGUGUCCAAAGGGCAGAACAAGGGCCGCACAAGCAACCAGAAGGUGUACAGCUGGCAUUUCCAAACUUCAAUAGUGGAACAGGAUUUUAUGAAACAAAGAAGAGGCACUUCACUAGCCCAAGGCUGUCCCCCUGGCUGAGUACCAAGGACCUGCUUCGAACAACAAAGCCUCAGGUCCAGGACUGAUGUAAGCGCAUGAGAAUCUCAUUGAAACCCCCUUCCAGAACCCCAGAAAAGGUUGAAAACGUGGCCCCUAAGGGCUCCACAAUCAAGGUGAAGACGAGGACCACCACAUUCAUUGCUGUUAAAAAUCUCAUGAUUGGUACAAUAAUGGAACAACCAGAUACUACUGAUGGCCCAUUAAGGGGACUCCACACUACAAAGGACUAUCGCAGGAAUCUAUGUACAAUGAAAACCUCUCAGCGAUAGCACAUCAACAAUGGACACAGCUUGAUUCACAUCCUAGCAAAUGAUCUAUAGCUCCUCCUAUAAAGGAGGGAAAACAACAUAAUCACUUGGCCUCCCACUCCUCCCUCACAACUCAACACCUGGAAACACCUCUGGAGGACAAAGACUGAAUGGGGGAGGUGGUCCCAGGCUGGAAAGGAGAAUCCCAGCCUGUGUAUUCAGGAACUAUACCAUCUACCAGGGUGAGACACUGCUUAAUUCAAAUCCUGUCUAGUUUCUAGAAUUCAGAUUGUGGUUUUAAUUACAUUUCUUAGGUAACUAACUUUGAUCUGUGCAUUUAUUACUUACAAUCACUUAAAAUCUAUCUGUGUGUAGUUAAUAA